CAGCAGCGCGGUAAUACGUAGGGUGCGAGCGUUAAUCGGAAUUACUUGGCGUAAAGCGUGCGCAGGCGGUUUUGUAAGACAGGCGUGAAAUCCCCGGGCUCAACCUGGGAACUGCGCUUGUGACUGCACAGCUAGAGUAUGGCAGAGGGGGGUGGAAUUCCACGUGUAGCAGUGAAAUGCGUAGAGAUGUGGAGGAACACCGAUGGCGAAGGCAGCCCCCUGGGCCAAUACUGACGCUCAUGCACGAGAGCGUGGGGAGCAAACAGGAUUAGAUACCCGGUAGUCCCUGUCUCUUAUACAC
rnacentral:rRNA from 1 species